rnacentral:rRNA from 1 species
ACGGGAGGCAGCAGUGAGGAAUGUUGGUCAAUGGGCGGAAGCCUGAACCAGCCAAGUCGCGUGAAGGAUGAAGGUAUUAUGUAUUGUAAACUUCUUUAGCAGUGGAGUAAUAAGGGAGUCGUGACUCCUGAUGCAAGUACAAUGAAAAUAAGGAUCGGCUAACUCCGUGCCAGCAGCCGCGGUAAUACGGAGGAUCCGAGCGUUAUCCGGAUUUAUUGGGUUUAAAGGGUGCGCAGGCGGCCUUGUAAGUCGGCGGUUAAGUCGUGGCGCUCAACUCCAUACCGCCGUUGAUACUGCAGGGCUUGAUUGCGGUUGAGGUUGGCGGAAUUCGUCGUGUAGCGGUGAAAUGCAUAGAUAUGACGAAGAACUCCGAUUGCGUAGGCAGCUGACCAAGCCGUAAAUGACGCUCAUGCACGAAAGUGCGGGGAUCGAACAGGAUUAGAUACCCUGGUA